CCUACGGGAGGCAGCAGUAGGGAAUUUUCCGCAAUGGGCGAAAGCCUGACGGAGCAAUACCGCGUGAGGGAUGACGGCCUGUGGGUUGUAAACCUCUUUUCUCAAGGAAGAAGUUCUGACGGUACUUGAGGAAUAAGCAUCGGCUGACUCUGUGCCAGCAGCCGCGGUAAUACAGAGGAUGCAAGCGUUAUCCGGAAUCACUGGGCAUAAAGCGUCUGUAGGUUGUUUAGUAAGUCUGCUGUUAAAGACUGGGGCUUAACCCCAGAAAAGCAGUGGAAACUGCUAGACUCGAGUGUGGUAGAGGUAGAGGGAAUUCCUAGUGUAGCGGUGAAAUGCGUAGAUAUUAGGAAGAACACCAAUGGCGAAGGCACUCUACUGGGCCAUAACUGACACUGAGAGACGACAGCUAGGGGAGCAAACGGGAUUAGAUACCCCGGUAGUCCUAGCCGUAAACGAUGGAUACUAGAUGUUGCACGUAUUAACCCGUGCAGUAUCGUAGCUAAGGCGUUAAGUAUCCCGCCUGGGAAGUACGCUCGCAAGAGUGAAACUCAAAGGAAUUGACGGCNGAGAGNGCGAGACGACGACGAGGAGAG
rnacentral:rRNA from 1 species